CUGUAGUUUUGUAUUUUGUUCCUUAUGUCCAUUGGAUUGUUUGGUUUGGUAUUAUUAUUCCCCCUGUGUCCAUGCUUUUAUUGUGGUGUUUGCUCUGGUACCGUGUUCCCGUCCUUUGUGUUCUGUGUUCUCCUCAUCCCCUCGUAUUCAUCCUUGUUCUCUGCCUCUCUCUCUCUGUGCUCAUCUCUGUGUACUGUGUUGUGUUGGAGGUCCACAUCUUGGUGUCAGUAUUUUCAGUUUCGUGUCCUCCCUGCUCGGUCAUGAGUAAUUGUCUUCAGCUGUGUUCCCCGUGUGUUCCCACUUCCCUCAUUACCUUCUGUGUAUUUAUGUCAGAGUGUCCCUUUGUUCUGUGUUGCGUCGUCCCUCUAGGUUGUGUGCAUUUAGCGUGUCUUCCCAGCGCCUCAGUUUUAGUUGCUCCCAGUAUAGUUUUUGUAUGACUUCUUCUUUUUUUUAUAUUUUUAUAUAUUUUUAUAUAUUUUAUUUUAUUAUUUUUUACUAUUUAAUUUGUAAAAAUGUGUACACACACACACACACACACACGUAGAAAAACAUUUAGUAUACACAUCCAGAAAUGCAUACACUAUUAUAUAUUGUACAUAUAUUUAUUAGUUUCAGGUUGGCCAUUCUUGUAUUUUGCUCAUUUGUGUUGUUGUGUUUUGCACAUCUCUGUUGCUUGUGGGGCUCGCACACAAGAAUUUCACUCGCAUGUGCUGUGCCAGUGUGCCUGCACAUGUGAUGUGACAAUAAAAGUGAUUUGAUUUGAUUUGAUUUAUGUUCCUGUUAAUAAAGACCUGCCUUUGAGUUCAUCCCUGUGUGUCUAGAGCCGUGCAUUUGGGUCCUUUCUUGCCUUCACACAGCCGUCGCAUGACAAAAACACAUUUCUAGCGUUAACUGAACUUCCAAAAAAGAGCUACCUAGAUCAAUUGUGUAAUAAAUUACACAAUUGAAAGGAUCAGUGAAAGCGGAGAUUUUUAAGAUCUCCUGCCAGGGUGGAGAUUUUCAAAAAACUCAGUUUUUAGUGUUUACAUGUGGACAUAGAUAUUUU
ensembl:lncRNA